rnacentral:lncRNA from 1 species
AGUGAUUGAAGCCAAAGUCAUUUGCAAUGGAAAAAUCCCGAUAGUUGUAUUAAAGCUCCAUCUAAAGAUAUUUGAAGAACUCAUAAUGUAGUCACAAAAGUCUCUUUACUACGCAUCAGAAGAGAUGUAAAUAAUCUCACUAUAACUUGCUCUAAUAGGGGUCUCGAGGCAACUUCCAUCACCAUUUAUGAUAGUGCAAGAGAAGUUGAGGGGCUCUAUUUGACGAGUCUCUCAUUAAUAUAUUUCUAGUAUAUUUAGUAUUUUUUUUUUGUAUUUUUUGUAUUAGGUUUAGUUUACUUUUAGUUGGGUAUAUUAUUAUUGGCUAGCAAGCUUUCUUGUCCUAGAAAUGGAUAUGCCCUUUAUUUUGUAAUUUUGAAUUUUUUGUGAUAAUGAAAUACAAUUUAUUUUCUUUCAA